UACGGGGGGGGCAAGCGUUGUUCGGAAUUACUGGGCGUAAAGGGCUCGUAGGCGGCCAACUAAGUCGGACGUGAAAUCCCCAGGCUCAACCUGGGAACUGCGUCCGAUACUGGAUGGCUUGAAUUCGGGAGAGGGAUGCAGAAUUCCAGGUGUAGCGGUGAAAUGCGUAGAUAUCUGGAGGAACACCGGUGGCGAAGGCGGCAUCCUGGACCAACACUGACGCUGAUGAGCGAAAGCCAGGGGAGCAAACGGG
rnacentral:rRNA from 1 species